rnacentral:lncRNA from 1 species
ACUCGAUCGAGGAACUUUUUGGUGUUGUUUUAGAUAAGUGGAUAGUGUUAAUUAACUGCAAGACUUUCAAAUUCCAGAGUCAUAAAACUUUUGUUUUAGAGGACCGGAAUGAGUCGAAACACUUGGGGACCAGGUGCCAAGAAAUAUUCUACCUUGUGAACAAAGUGAUAAAAAAAUGCUGAAGAUAGAGGCGAAGAUAAGGUUGAUCAACUAAAUGUCAAAAUGCACAAGGUAGGUUAUCCCUCCCCUAGUGACGUUGUGUUUUUAAGUCGGUAUCGGUGAAUCUAUUAUAUUCUAUAAGGGGAUUGAGGGAUCAAUACAGUGCCGACACGCAGAGAUCCCACAUAUCGAUACUGUAUUAGUCAAUUGAACAAAAUUAAUUUCAUGCUAACUACUCCCGGGAUUGAGCUAGUGUUAUGGGAGGGUGUCAGGACGCUAGUUAUAGCUGGAUCGAUGUAUUAUAUCCAAUAAGAGAUUGAGGUUGGUGUUGGGAAAGGGUGUCAGGGCGCCAGUUAUGCGGGAACUAAGGAAUCCACCUAUUAAUAAAAGAAAAAGAAAAAGAAGACAAGGUUAAUAUUCGAUAAGAUACAAAAGAAGUAGUGUUUUUGUUUGUUUGUUUGUUUUAUUUAGUACCUGUUGCUAUAUACACUUUAGAAUUAUCCAGCAUAUUUAUUUUAUUGAAGAGAAAAAAAAGGUAAAUAUACUACUAGUCUACUACUACUACUACUACACGUACAUGCUCCCAUCAUGAACCCAAAACAUUCAACUUCCUCUUCCUCUUUUUCUUCUUGUUCCGGAGCCAACAACACACAUUCGUUGCGUUGCUGCAACAAAGUCGCCGAGUUUAUGUGCAAUACAUGCCUUUUAUGUGUUUGUUGCCCCCUGGCCAUCUUGUGGUGUUGUAUCAAGUUACCCUGCAAGAUCGGAUGGCGCGUGGCAAGACCCGAGGCUUGUUGUGGAUCCGAGGAUAAGAUUUUCGCAGCUUAUUCCUCAUUUUCGGACAUGGACUCCGAUGAUCAAACGGGGAAGAAAGUAGGCAAAAACUCCAGGAGUUUGUGCUUCUGUUAGAGCUAGCUGUAAACGAACUGGGCUGCUUGCGAGGUAGGAAGCCUUUAAUCCAUUUCGAGGCCUUCAUUUUCGGACAUGGAUUUUUUUU